GAGACGAGAAAGUGUUAAGUAGAACAAAAAAGAAUUAAAGCAAGUGUAGGCGAGAUGGUCUAGUGGUAAGGACAAAGUGUUGCAAGUGCGUGAAGCCAGGUUCAAGUCGUGGUUGUGCCAAGAGCAUUUUAAUGCCGGGCGUCGUUGUUGAUUAAUUCCACCCGAGACGAGAAAGAGUUAAGUAGAAUAAAAAAGAAGUUAAAGCAAGUGUAGGCGUGAUGGUCUAGUGGUAAGGACAAAUUGUUGCAAGUGCGUGAAGCCAGGUUCAAGUCGUGGUUGUGCCAAGAGGAUUUUAAUGCCGGGCGUCGUUGUUAAUUAAUUCCACCCGAGACGAGAAAGAGUUAAGUAGAAUAAAAAAGAAGUUAAAGCAAGUGUAGGCGUGAUGGUCUAGUGGUAAGGACAAAUUGUUGCAAGUGCGUGAAGCCAGGUUCAAGUCGUGGUUGUGCCAAGAGCAUUUUAAUGCCGGGCGUCGUUGUUAAUUAAUUCCACCCGAGACGAGAAAGAGUUAAGUAGAAUAAAAAAGAAGUUAAAGAAGUGUAGGCGAGAUGGUCUAGUGGUACGGGCAAAGUGUUGCAAGUGCGUGAAGCUAUAGGUUCGAAUCCUGCUGUAGUCAAAAAGCAUUUUAAUGUCAGGCGUCGUUGUUAAUUAAUUCCACCCAAGACGAGAAAGAGUUAAGUAGAAUAAAAAAGAAUUUAAGCAAGUGUAGGCGAGAUGGUCUAGUGGUAAGGACAAAUUGUUGCAAGUGCGUGAAGCCAGGUUCAAGUCGUGGUUGUGCCAAGAGCAUUUUAAUGUCAGGCGUCGUUGUUAAUUAAUUCCACCCGAGACGAGAAAGAGUUAAGUAGAAUAAAAAAGAGUUAAAGCAAGUGUAGGCGAGAUGGUCUAGUGGUAAGGACAAAGUGUUGCAAGUGUGUGACCCCAGUUUCGAAUCCCGCUGUAGUCAAAAAGCUUUUUGGGCCUCAACAAGUGUGUUCAUUAAUUAUAGAGUCGAAGGGAAAAUGAUUAAGUAGAAUAAAAAACAUAACCAUUUCACCAAUAGCCCUGAUGGUCUAGUGGUACCUCUAACGCGUGAAAUACCGUAUCGGGGGCAAAAGUAGGCGCGUUUGCUGCGCCGAAUUUCCAGAGGUUAACACGGAG
rnacentral:lncRNA from 1 species